UCAAUUUUUUACAUUAUUUCACAGGAAACAAUUGAUACAAAAGAGAAGGAAUCUAACGUAAGUCUACCAUUCUUACCUGGAACCCCAACACCUGAUGUCCUUACAAAAUCCAACACUGUCGAAAAUCGUCAGCAUAGUCCUGUACGGUUCCCUACCCUUUUCAUACCCGCACAAGAUAAGGUUUCGCGGCCUAGAUCGACAGUAGCUGCUGGAAUACUUUUUCUGCCAUCAAUUUUGUAAAAAAACGAAUAGCAUCACUACGAAUUAUAAACGUUUGUUGAUUGGAAAUAAAUUUAUCAUUUUCAUCGAAUUAAUUUUGAGUAUAGACUGAAAAACACAGUUUCAAACAUAGUUUUCAUUUUCUAAGGCAUUUUUUCACAAGAGAAUUUUUAAAAAAAAGGGCUUGGGGCAAAUAUUUAUAAACUUCCUUUGCAAAUUGUUCACAUAAUUUAUUUUUUUUCGAAAAUAGAAAAAAAGUGAAGCGUAAGAUGUUUAUGUGCAUUGAGCUGUGAGAAUUCGAGUGGAAAUUCCCAAAAAUUGUAGUUGCUAUCUGUAACUACACAAAAGAAUAGUUUGAUGUUAAAAAAUGAUAUUUAAAAAAAAAUGCCAUUUAUUAUUUAUAAGACAAAAUUAACGGUCGUCACAGAGUGAAUAAAUUGUUGAUUAAAUUUUUUUUCCUAAUUGCCACUUUUUUCGUCGAAAAUGUACCCAUGUGCAUUUUAUUAUGAUUAUUCUUUAAUAAAUAUCGAAUAAUAAUGAUUAUUUAUUAUGUUCUGAAAACUACUGAAAAUAUCACGCUGAUUUCUCGAAUUUUUGUCUUCAUUUUAUAAAAAAACCUUCUAACGUUUACCAUAUUUUGAGAAAUGACAUUAUUAGCAUCAACUUUUUUAAUCGUUAAACAUUUUCAAAAACGAAGAGACAUUUUUAAAUAGUAGUCCCUUUUAAAAAUGAUACAACUAGCCACUGACCACAAUAUCAACAUUUAUCAAUAUUUGAAUACUUAUUAUUAAUUGCUCCAACCUCAAGCACUUAAUAGAAAAUUCAAUUUUUUCAAUCGGUUUCUUAUUAGCACUUUAAAUCGAUUUCAUUUAUAAUACGGCUCAGCUUUUUUGUUUCUUUCUAAUAAAAUUGAAAACAGUACCAUAAUCUCUCAACAAUUAUUUGAAUUGUGGUAUUUAAAAUGAAUUCUGCAACAAAAAUAAGAAUGUGUUCGAUAGUAAUAACCUGUGGCAAGAGAUGAACAAUUUCACAAUAUUCAAUCGACUUUCUCUGAUAUUUUAGACGAGUUUUCAGAAUAAAAUUUUGACAGGCAAGCAGUUUCAGAAGAAAAUCAUAUGAUCUUUCUGGCUGUCUUUCAAAACGAUCCACCCCUCUUCUCUGGUUCCUGUUUUUAGAAAGUCGCCUGCCUUUUUGGAAUUGGAAUAGAUCAUUUAUUCUUUUUCUUUCUCAAAAAGGAACUCAACAUUUGGAACAAACUAUGAUAGAAGAUUUAUGUCAUAACUAUGAAAUUAUAUUUUAAAAUAGGCUUAAAUAUAAUGAGUUGAAUAAGAACGUAUAAGUGAGGAUAUUUGUAGUUAUAAGAAAGAUAAAAUUUUGCCAUGGGCAACCAGUAAAUGUUAUACUUUUUUAUUUAGCCUGUAGAAAAUAUGCGAUUUAAAAAAAAAAAAAUCACACGGAUAAAAAUAGCAAUAUAAGAAAAAAAAAAUACUACUAAUUGCAGCGAUUUUGAUGUGAAAUCAACAAUUAAGCAUAAAAAUUUAAUCAAUAAGUUUUCAAUAAUUGUGUUUCGUCAGACUUAUGAAGUUAAUGCUUUUUCAUGAUUUGCGAUCUCUUUCCUUUCAGAAUUUUUUUAAGAUUCUAAAACUAUAUAAAGGCCGGUGAUUGAGGAAUACCCUCUAAUUUCGGAUGAAAAUUAAAAGUUAGAAAUAAAAAUAAGGAUAUUAAAAGUUUAGAACCAAAAUAAUUAAAUUAUAAGUUAAAUUUCAAAAACAAUAAAAUUAAAAAUCGAAGUAAUCAGGAUUGCGAUCAUUAUAAUUGCAAAAGAAAUCUAACUUAGAAAUUAUUUUAAGUCAUAUGUUAUUUACAUUUAAUUUUUCUAAAUUUAUUUGUGUAUAAAAUAAAUUAUCUGCUUAUUUUUACUGUGCAUCAAAAAUAUAUUUGUUGUAGAUUUAUUUUACACUAAUAGUACUUUUAAAUAUUUCUAAAUGAUAUAAAUUUUGAUAUUGAAUCAAAUAAUUCAGUAUGCAUUGUGGCAUGGAUAUUUAAUGCUAAUGUUGGAUAAUUAAUUUUUGAUGUCCACUUUAGAAAAUAAAUAAAGAGAAUUUGUAAAAAUGUA
rnacentral:lncRNA from 1 species